GGAAAGGGUCACAUGGUCCAAGAGAUGAUCCAGAUGUGGAAUUCCAGAAACUCUGGUCAGACCAAGGGGAAUAACUCCUGCUCACAAAGACUGACCUGUAACCCAGAUUUCCAGCUGGUUAGUCCACAUUGAGAUCCAUAACUGCCAGUGGCAUGAAUGUGUAUGUCAACUGUUCAAUCUGAAGAUACACCUUCUCCCACACUGCCAUGUUUUCACAUCUCUGACACAGGGAUUCCCAUCACAACCACUGUCAGUCAAGCAGCAGUUCUGACAUAGUUGCCGUUGCCUACACAUAGAUGGAUCUGGUUGUUACUUCUUGGGUGUCAUGCUUGAAAAACGGCGCAGCAACCAGUGAUGCUUCAGUGAGCAAACUCUGAGGACCCCUUGGGGGAAGGAAUGUGAAUCAUGAUUCCUGUCUGAAAACUUAUGUGGACAUCCAUUUGGUAAGAUCAAGAAAGCACUGAUCUGAUCUGAACUGGUGUUGGCAGCUUGAGAAAACUUGGAAAAAAUUAUUGGAGUGGAUUUCUCAGUGAAGCACGCUCUUCCCCUACUCGGCUCACUGAAGCCUCUGCCUCCUGGGUUCAAGCAAUUCUCCUGCCUCAGCCUCCCGAUGAGUAUCUGGGACUACAGGAUGCCAGGCAGGCAUCUGUAGCCUCUGUCUGUUGCAGAAGACCAGAACAUGUCACCCUAAGAUACGCCACUUUGGCAUAAAAGUUAUUUUGAGCUGAAGGCAAUCGAGAAGAAGCAGAUAUAAGAAAAGGUCUCUGCUCUACCCCAUUAGCCUAAAAGCAAGACAUAAAUUUACCAAGACUAUGAUGUCCAUCGUUACCUCUCUACCAGAAAGAACAAAGGUUGUUCACUGAAGGCAACUUUAGAUCCUUCUCAUCCUGGAGAUGGCACCGAAGAAUCCACAUGACAAAUUCCCAUUUCCUCGCCUUCCCUCAAUUUGCUAACCCUAGAGACUCACAGUACUUUUCCUUUGGUUACUUCUCUAACAAUUUGCUCUUCUUUGUUAAAAAUGCCAUAUAAAACCAGAGUUCUAAGAUACUUUGAGAAUUUCUCAUUUCCUG
rnacentral:lncRNA from 1 species